rnacentral:rRNA from 1 species
UACGAAGGGGGCUAGCGUUGCUCGGAAUCACUGGGCGUAAAGCGCACGUAGGCGGAUUGCUAAGUCAGGGGUGAAAUCCUGGAGCUCAACUCCAGAACUGCCUUUGAUACUGGCGAUCUCGAGUCCGGGAGAGGUGAGUGGAACUGCGAGUGUAGAGGUGAAAUUCGUAGAUAUUCGCAAGAACACCAGUGGCGAAGGCGGACUCACUGGCCCGGUACUGACGCUGAGGUGCGAAAGCGUGGGGAGCAACAGGAUUAAGAUACCCAGUACGUCCACGAGCAAUCAG